rnacentral:misc_RNA from 1 species
GAUGAAGAACGUAGCGAAAUGCGAUAAGUAAUGUGAAUUGCAGAAUUCAGUGAAUCAUCGAAUCUUUGAACGCACAUUGCGCCCGCCAGUAUUCUGGCGGGCAUGCCUGUUCGAGCGUCAUUUCAACCCUCAAGACCCCUUCGGGGGACUUGGUGUUGGGGACCGGCACAGGGGCCUGCCUGCUUGUCUUGCAGCGCCCUCGCCGCCCCCGAAAUGAAUUGGCGGCCUCGUCGCGGCCUCCCCUGCGUAGUAGCACAACCUCGCAACGGGAACGUGACGGCGGCCACUGCCGUAAAACAACCCCAAUUUUAUUAGAGUUGACCUCGAAUCGGGUAGGAAUACCCGCUGAACUUAAGCAUAUCAAUAAGCGGAGGA